UUUUAUUUAUUUUUUAAAUGUUGCCCAGGCUGGUCUCAAACUCCUAGCCUUAAGCAAUCGUCCUGCCUCAGCCUCCCAAAAUACAGGGAUUACAGGUGUGAGCCACCACACCCUGCCUGUAUUUUAACUGCAUCUCAUUAUGUUAUAAAUUUGAGAACUAAAUGAGGAUAUGUUGCCUUGCAUGUCUGUUAGUUUGUACUAAGGAUCUGAUUAGGAAGUGGCCACUGAGCUAAGAAGAAAAUGGUGCAAAGAAGGAAAGAGGCCAUUUCUGGAUCCAAUAUUCAUCUUUUACUAAAUUUUCACUAGAGAGUUGUCCCCUGUCCCAAAUGAGAUUUGGGAUGUGAAGGCCAGUAGCCUAACAGGUAACAAUUCCUGGGGAAGACUCCUGAGAAGAGUCUCAUGUUACAAACUCAUGAGGGUCCCUCUUCUUUCUUGUAGGCAUCCAGGCUGGAGAAGCAGAACAGCACACCUGAGAGUGACUACGACAACACUCCCAACGACAUGGAGCCAGAUGGCAUGGGGUCAAGCCGAAAGGGACGGCAAAGAAGUAUGGUG
rnacentral:lncRNA from 10 species